UUCACAUUAUUUUUUAGGUAAAUAAAGAAGAUCUCAGCCCUUUGUCAUCAUCAUCAGAGGUGGAACAGCUGGAGGAUAUUGAAAAGGUUGUGCACCAAGUUCAAGAAGAUGAAAUUAUCUCCACAUAUUCAGUUAUGUUCUUUUUAAUUGGAUCUGUCUCACUUCCUGUUAUCAUCCUUCUCCUCUUUCACUCAUAUGUAGUUUACAUAGUGGCAGUUUUCAUCUCUGUC